CCGAUUUUAUUUAGAUAUUUCCCCCAUUCCAUCUCAAUCUUGAAGGAGGGUUCAGCUGGAAACGUCGACUGUCGACCCUUUUCGAUCGAUGCUCCCGGGUCUGCUGAGUUCCACCAGCCUUUUGUUUGUGCUGAGCUGGAUUUCCUGCAUGUGCAGACUUUGUCACGUUUGUGAUUUGCCUCUCCGUUGUCCCACACGCCUCCGAGCACUGGGGGCGCUGUAUGGACCUCCGACCACUGGUGGUGCUGCGGAGAACAUCCUGAUAAACGCAUGCGCACUGCCGAAAGCAGCUGUCGUUGGCGGUUCACCGACACGAGCGGGGACCUGCGGUGAGAGAUUUAUUGGAAGAAAAACCCACAACUGGAAGCAAACCACGACUGAAGACGAGGGAACAGCAGCAAGUGAACCAGCCCGAGGACUGAGAGCACUGACUGGAGAGAAACCCUUCUGACUCAGGGUUUCCAUUGAUUCAGUCAGGAGCAAGUCUGUUCCAAAAUAACAAAAAAGGCAAAGGGCCUGAAGCAAAAGUUUGGGCACCCUUCAUUGUCAACACCAAGUAACACCCCC